AACGAACGCUGGCGGCAGGCUUAACACAUGCAAGUCGAACGCCCCGCAAGGGGAGUGGCAGACGGGUGAGUAACGCGUGGGAACGUGCCCUUCGCUUCGGAAUAGCCCCGGGAAACUGGGAGUAAUACCGAAUACGCCGUAUUGGGAAAGAUUUAUCGGCGAAGGAUCGGCCCGCGUUAGAUUAGCUAGUUGGCGGUGUAAUGGACCACCAAGGCUACGAUCUAUAGCUGGUCUGAGAGGAUGAUCAGCCACACUGGGACUGAGACACGGCCCAGACUCCUACGGGAGGCAGCAGUGGGGAAUCUUGGACAAUGGGCGCAAGCCUGAUCCAGCCAUGCCGCGUGAGUGAAGAAGGCCUUAGGGUUGUAAAACUCUUUCGCCGGAGAAGAUAAUGACGGUAUCCGGAGAAGAAGCCCCGGCUAACUUCGUGCCAGCCGCCGCCGUAAUAC
rnacentral:rRNA from 1 species